rnacentral:rRNA from 1 species
GCAGCAGGCACGCAAAUUACCCAUUUCCAGAACGGAGAGGUAGUGACAAAAAAUAACGAUACGGGACUCUAUUGAGGCCCCGUAAUCGGAAUGAGUACACUUUAAAUCCUUUAACAAGGAUCCAUUGGAGGGCAAGUCUGGUGCCAGCAGCCGCGGUAAUUCCAGCUCCAAUAGCGUAUAUUAAAUUUGUUGCAGUUAAAAAGCUCGUAGUUGGUUUUGCGUGCCACGCUGUCGGUUCGCCGCCUGCCGGUGCAACUGGCACGCCGUGGCAUGUCCUGUCGGUGGUGAUUGGGUGCCUGGUACCCGGUCCGAGGCCCAGCCGAAGCCGGUGCCGUGUGUAAACUCUCACCGAUUUAACCCUGCCCGGUGCUCUUAAACGAGUGUCGAGGUAGGCCGACAAAUUUACUUUGAACAAAUUAGAGUGCUUCAAGCAGGCAAAAAUCUAGCCUGAAUAGUGGUGCAUGGAAUAAUAAAAUAGGACCUCGGUUCUGUUUUGUUGGUUUUUUGGAACACAAGGUAAUGAUCAAUGUGGACAGGCGGGGGCAUUCGUAUUGCGGCGUUAGAGGUGAAAUUCUUGGAUCGUCGCAAGACGCUCGAGAGCGAAAGCAUUUGCCAAGUAUGUCUUAAUUGAUCAAGAACGAAAGUUAGAGGUUCGAAGGCGAUCAGAUACCGCCCUAGUUCUAACCAUAAACGAUGCCAGCCAGCGAUCCGACGUGUUCCUAUUACGACACGUGCGGGCAGCUUCUACCCCGGGAAACCAAAGCUCUUGGGUUCCGGGGGAAGUAUGGUUGCAAAGCUGAAACUUAAAGGAAUUGACGGAAGGGCACCACCAGGAGUGGAGCCUGCGGCUUAAUUUGACUCAACACGGGAAACCUCACCAGGUCAGGACAUUGAAAGGAUUGACAGAUUGACAGCUCUUUCUUGAUUACAGUGGGUAGUGGUGCAUGGCCGUUC